rnacentral:misc_RNA from 1 species
GUCGCCUCGACAUCGAUGUGACGUGACAGCACCUGUCCGACCUCUCUGAAGCCCGUGCCUUCACAGCCCUGCCCGCCUCCACUGCCUGCAAAACGCAUACCUAUCGUUGACGGCGCUCCGCCUCGCCACCUUUGCUUCUGCUGUCGGUGCCCUGCCCCCGUCAUUCUCACACAAGCAGUGGCCCACAGAGGGAGCAACGUUGUCCCCCCACCCCCUUCCCCAAAAACACGCCCCGACAGCGCUUCUACAGACCAGCGCGCGCACUCCUCUCACCGGGCCAUCAGUCACAUGUGUUCACGCCUUGCACAAGAGCGCCAUCACUAACGGCAGAUCAGCGAACCAUUCGAAGCCCAGCACCUGGUCGCAGCUCGCCCUCGCCCAAGAAGAGAAGGUGGCGUAGCAUUCGUACCGCAUCUUCCUUACUUUCUUCUCUUUCUCGGUUCGCCAUAUCGGAUGAGUCGCUGCCGCGGUGCGUAGCCGCUCUUUCUUCGUUCCUCGAAAAAGUGCGCUGAAACGUUCAGCUGCAGGCUCCGGUGGUUGUUUUCCUGUUGUCGUCGUGGACUCUCUCCCCCACCCCUCCCUCCCUCCCUCCCUCCCUCUCUCUCUGUGUGCUUCCACACUGUACGCGUUUUCCUGCAAGGUAAGUGGUGUAGGGCCUUGUGCACCCACCCGUGCUGGUCUAAGGCGCAGGUGCGAGUGCAUCCGCUGCCUCUCACCGGCGCAGUCUUGUUUUCUGUGUGUAAUCUGCUCUCCCUUUCUUCUCUUUCGCGUUCUCUUGCCUGCCGCGGGUGCAGCUGCCGUUUUUGGUUGUGGCGGUGGUCGCACAACUGAAGUGUGCAUCAAAACCUUUCUAGCGCGUGAGUUCGGUGUGUCAGUGCUCCGUCUCGCUUUUUGUUCUUGUUUGGCUUUUCACUAUCGGUUGUGCUGUCGCGUUGUAUCGGCGGCGCCGUCACGUGUGUGGGGUGCACACGGUGCAGCACGAGGCAGGGCGGCGCACCGCUUGUCUCCCUCCUCCGCUCAAAAAGGAAAAGGUGGUGUCUUUGCUCAUUUUUCUGUGUUCUCUUGUCUUCCUGUACGUUGUGCUGAACCACGCCGGCGUGUGUGUGUCGCGGGCUCUCUUCGACGCUGGCGGCGCACGAGGAGACGUAUUGGUGUUCUGCCCCGGCCCUCUCCCUUCUCGCCGUCCUGGAGGGCUCGCGAGACUGGGCUCGGCGACUUUUACACGGGCACACACAUACACAUACCGAAAUACACACACACACGUAUAUAUAUAUAUAUAUACAUCCAUACACGUACACACACGAGCAGAGUUGGCCAAGUGAAAAGGACGUCUGCGUGUGUUUGCUCGCUUGUGUAGUCCCUUUCACGCUGCGCGUCGGGUAGAAGUCGCUAGCAAGUUUGCCUGACACAUGCUUCAUCCGGUGAACUUGCAGCGACCUUCAUCUGCCUCUCACGUUUUUUUUUUGUGGUAGCCUCGCCUCCCCGCACCACUGCAGUAACCGUGUCCUACGGCAGUGCUUCUCAAAGAAACAAGAAGGGACCUGCGCGCAAGCUACUGCGUACGUACCCUAGCUUCGUAUUAGUUGUGAGAGACCGCGUGUGGUGUAAUACCGAAGUCACGCCAUGGGCGAUCACCUCGGUUCGCGCUUCACCGUCAUUGAGCAGAUCGGCAGCGGCAAUUAUGGCUCUCUCUACCGUGUCAUCGAUGGUGAAGCGGCGACGCUAGCCGACCGAAUUAUCGCCACAAAAAAGUUGCAGGACACGAUAAACCACCCACACGUGCUACGUGAGGUGAGCGUUCAGCGCCAUGCUCAGAAGUGCUCGCCGCACAUUGUCAAGCUACUCCACGUGGUGCCACGCGAUCGCGUGCGGGCAGCGUUGGUGCUCGAGUACGUGCCGCUUGACUUGCGCACCUUUCUCAACGCCUUCUACUGCGACCAAGCGAAAUCAUCUGCACCGACGUGGUGUGCGACUGCCGGGGCCGGUGAGGUCAAAUCGGCGGCGCCGCCGCCGUGCCAUAUACCCUUGAUUUAUGUGCGGCGAAUGCUGCGUGGUCUGAUUGAGGCCCUUCACUGCCUGCACGCCCGCGGAAUAGUUCAUCGCGAUGUCAAACCAGAGAAUAUUCUCGUGGAGCCGCUCGGAUUGGGGCACCCACUUCGGUGUGUUUGCCCGCCGAUGGGCUCUUUCGGGCCCACCGGUGAGGCUGCAGGUUGCUGGGUGCACGCUCCCCAGUGCUCCGACCCACGACAAGAGAAGGACGCGACUCAGCCGAUGCAGCCACGGGGAACGCUGGAGCCGUGCCAAUUUUUCUGCAGAAACUCCGUCGCGCUGCACCAUGAGCUCACGGGGGACGAGCUUGCAUCUGCUAUUCAUCGGCUGCACUGCGAGACGUGUCGGCCCUGCCCACGCGCGCGGGCUGGGGUGGGGAAGCACCCGCUCCAACAACAUCGAGACAGGAGCGACAUGAAAACAAGCAACUCCUGCUCACAGGAGCGGCAAGCAGACGCCGUGGACGGUGAGGGUCCAGCGAGCGUGGACGACGACGAAGAGAACAAGUUCACCGCGCCUACGCCACCACCGCUCAUGCCAGAUGUCAAGCUGUGCGACUUUGGCUCAGCACGGCACAUUGGGACGCUGCGCUUGCGCAGUGCAGAGGAGCAAAGAGAGGAGCUCACCCCGGGGCCCACUACUCCGGUGUACUGCGCUCCUGAAAUGAUGCUGCUGCAGCGUUAUGGCACAUCAGUGGACAUGUGGGCUGUGGGCGCCAUCCUCUUUGAGAUGCUCACAGGCGAAUUCUUCCUCGGUGUUGGCACGCUGCGCUCCUUCUCCGGCGACGUCGUCGUUCAAGACGACUACUGCGUGAUGCACCGGUUGAAUCGCAUGUUCCGCCAUCUCGGCACACCGUCCGUUGAGGAGUGGCGGUGCAUUGCCCACCCCCACUACUACCCUGACGAGAUGUUGGCCCACCUGCCGCAGGUGCGCGAUGCAGCGCUCUUCCGCUGCCUUGCCCAGCCCAUCGCCACUGACGUGAGCCUUCUUCCGGAAAGCGGGGACAUCAAGCCGAACGGCGACGCUAAAACGGCUGAUGAGCAGACAGAACUCAGCGUACGGCCAUCUGCUGAGACGUGCUCAUUUGCCCAAGCGCCGGUGAAUGGGACAACGGAUUCGCAUGCCGCAAGAGCAUCGGUGCCGCCUCGCGAUAUGGCCUCCGCGAGGCAUCCGUUGAAUGUGUCUGACUUUCUGUAUCAGCAUAUCGGUAAAAGCGGCGUGGACUUCCUGCGCUCGUUGCUGCGGUACGACCCGGCGAAGCGCAUGACGUCGGCGGAGGCGCUGCGCCACCCUUUCUUGAGUCCUGAGGUAGCGAAUAUGUAGGAGCAGCAGGGCAGUGAUGCCGGUGUACGCAAAUUGUGCGUGGCAGCAUCUGAAGCGGCUGACGUGCACCUGCAAUGGGGGACGGGCGGUGCGUACGAGGGGGAGCGUUGUGGCUGUGACGUUGGCGGCUUCAGCCGUCACAUUCUCGUCUUCCCUUCGGCGGGUCGCUCCGCUGUGGGGCGCGUGUUUGUGUCGCUUGUUUCGCUUUAUUUUCCUCGUUUUUCGGCCAGUGAACUCGGAGCCCCGCCAGGCAUAGGUGCCACCGAUACAUCGAUGCCGGGGUUCAGGGUACUCUGGGCUGUAUCUCACCGUCCGCCCCUCUCUCUCUCUGACUAGAUGCGCCCCUCUUUUCCGCUGUCAAGUGUCCUACGCGCUACUCAUGUGCGUCUGAGACGGAGGAAGACAGAGGCGUGAGAGGGACAGCGAGAAAGACAGAGAGGCAUCUGCCCGCAACACCUCGUAAUCAGCGUGUGUCCAUCGCCCGCUGCCUCAAAUCCUGCCCACACCCGCCUCGCAGGUCGCCUCGCGGUGCAUCCCCUCAGGGCGGUGCAGGCACCCCACACCAACAGGCAUUGUGAGGGCCUGGUGUGAGAUGCGUUCGAGUCACGUUGAUACUCUGCCCAUCACAUGGAUGGCACAAGCCUGUGCAUUGUCGCAGGUCGCUCCGACGCCACGCCAUCCAGGGCCUGGCCGCCGAUAUCCGCAGCGCUAAACUGCACUGACUUCCUCACGCCGCGGGUGCCGGGCCCUGUCACCGCCAGGGACGUUUCGACAUUAGCAGGGAUAGGGGGCGACCUGUCUCUCACCCCCACACCGAGUGGGGGUCCUGGACCCCGAGAUGCCGCUCACUGAGGUGUGCCCACGCUCUCCUCUGCCGUCAAGGUACAUGAGCGUUUCUUUUCUUAAAAAAAUGGUGCAGUCGUGGUGUUGGUGACAGUACAUCGCGGAACUCGCGCUCCACUGCACUGCUCUGCAUUGCACUCUCGUUCUCUUCCCUCCCCCACCCCCUAUGAUCCUUCACCGCUUUCGUUCCUUUACUGCCGCUCGAGCAUAUUUGUGCAUGGCAAUGCCGGGCGCAUGCGCACACGUGGCGGUUUGCGUGUGAUGUGGUGUCGUCAUCUGAGUGCCUUGCCGUGGAAG